UCAGUUAUUUCUCCCUGAUUUGAUUGACCAGUCACUUUGCUCCAAACAGUAAUGACAGCCCCACAAGGCUUCCUGGGCCGCAAAGUGACACAUGCAUGCGAGGAACCCUCAUCACGACUCUGCGAAACCGCCGCCGCCGCCACCACCGCCAUCCCUGGGCCUUCGUAGCCAAGACGUGUUCAGUGACCAGGAUAGCAUAACCUCAAGUGGAUGACAUAUCUUUGCAGUGCCUUCAGACUGAUGGUGGAAAACAAAGCCACAUGUCCGCUGUUUGUGUUGGGAUUUAUGGAACAGAAGAGCCUUUAAACAAUCAUCGGAGUGUUGCUAAUUGUUUCAGCAGACGAGCCAUCACGGUAAAGUUUAAUUAUAACAAUCCACAGUUUGCAAAGUAUUUGUUAUGCCUUAAACAGUGUAGCAAAUCGACCUGUGAUUCUUAUUUUUCGUAAAACUAGUCAACAAUAAAAGUAAAGUGAGGGUCCUGAAUAUCGAUAUCUAAUGUUUAAUGGUUAACGCACCAAACAUUAAACUACAUGUUGGCGCCCUUUUCCAGGAAUUGAUCUACGACCCAUCUUG